rnacentral:rRNA from 1 species
GAUGAACGCUGGCGGCGUGCCUAAUACAUGCAAGUCGAGCGAACGGACGAGAAGCCUGCUUCUCUGAUGUUAUCGGCGGACGGGUGAGUAACACGUGGAUAACCUACCUAUAAGACUGGGAUAACUUCGGGAAACCGGAGCUAAUACCGGAUGAUAUUUUGAACCGCAUGGUUCAAAAGUGAAAGACGGUCUUGCUGUCACUUAUAGAUGAAUCCGCGCUGCAUUAGCUAGUUGGUAAGGUAACGGCUUACCAAGGCAACGAUGCAUAGCCGACCUGAGAGGGUGAUCGGCCACACUGGAACUGAGACACGGUCCAGACUCCUACGGGAGGCAGCAGUAGGGAAUCUUCCGCAAUGGGCGAAAGCCUGACGGAGCAACGCCGCGUGAGUGAUGAAGGUCUUCGGAUCGUAAAACUCUGUUAUUAGGGAAGAACAUAUGUGUAAGUAACUGUGCACAUCUUGACGGUACCUAAUCAGAAAGCCACGGCUAACUACGUG